rnacentral:lncRNA from 1 species
AAAGAGCGCUGUCUGGAGCUGCUUGCCGCCAUGACUCAGCUGCAAGCCUCCGACACUCUUGGCUUCCACUUCGAACGUCUGCAGCACGAGAGUGCCACGGGUGACGUGGACGAGGCGCUCACCACAGACAACAUCUGCAAGAAUCGCUUCAACAAAUACGUGCCAUUCAACAGGACGAGAGUGCGUUUGG